UUAUUUUUGUCAGAAAAUUAAAUUUUCAUCAGUUACUAUUUUCAAAUAAUCAAAAAAUAUAGGUACCAUUAGAAUAUUUUUGUAAUUAUAUACAGAUUAUAAAAUAAUAUUUAAUUAUGUAACCAUAGUAACAUUGGAGCAUUAAAUGCUUUAGUUAAUAUAGACCAUUGGUUUAACUACUUCAAGAGAAACUGGUAUUAAAAAGGAAGAGUGAUCAAUCAAAAUUUUUGUCUCUGUCAUACAACUACAAGUACAACGAAUUUAUGUUCUAUAGUUCAAAUUAAUUUUAAUGUUAGAGCUAACAAAACUUAAAAAUAUAAACAUAACAAUAUUAUCUAUAUUUGUACAAAGGUUUGUAUGUUAACAGUGGUAUUUAAAAAAAAAAAAAUUUCACGUACUAAGUAAUAGAUAGUAAAAGAUUGAAUAUUUCAUCUAUCCUUUAUAAAUAUAUUUUAAUAAUUCAGAAACUACUAAUUCAAAUUUUGAUUUAUACAUCAUAUAUAUACAUAAAUUAUCUGUUUAGCAAUUUACAGAGGAAAAAGUGGUUCUCAUUUGAAAAAAUUGAAGUUUAUAUCAUCUCAUAAUCCUUCUUUUAAGGUAUAAAAAUCCAAAACUUUCAAAACAUGCCUCUUAAGAUGAUUAAAAAUCACAAAAAUUGGAAUUUGAAUAAUUAAAUUAUUAAAGGAAAAAUGUGGUUGAAACACUUGGUAAUGUUGAUGAAUUUGUCAGUACCUCAUGUUUGGAAAAUUAUGAAUAAUUGCUCUGAAUUGCAUAACUAUUCAAGUGAUAAAUAUAA